rnacentral:misc_RNA from 1 species
CACAGCGGGACGUACGACCAAGAGGGAUGAACGUCGAGUAACGAGCGCUUUUCGACGCGAGAACAGCGAAAUUAGCGGGUAUCGCUGUGCUGAGGGAGAUCGGCCAGUGUUUGGUCGAGUGAUUGAAUAUGCUGAAGUCGGACCUUCACGAUCUUUUCUACGUUUCACUGAAAGAUCAUGGUUCUGCUAUACAAAUAUCUGUAUAUACCACUCUCAAUAGGCACUAAAGCAUAAUAUAUAAGAUCGGCAGAAGUGCC